UACGUAGGGAGCUAGCGUUGUCCGGAAUCAUUGGGCGUAAAGCGCGCGUAGGCGGCCCGGUAAGUCCGCUGUGAAAGUCAAAGGCUCAACCUUUGAAUGUCAGCGGAUACUGCCGGGCUAGAGUCCGGAAGAGGCGAGUGGAACUCCUGGUGUAGCGGUGAAUGCGCAGAUAUCAGGAGGAACACCAAUGGCGAAGGCAGCUCACUGGGA
rnacentral:rRNA from 1 species